UGUGUGGGCCAAGGCACCUCCUUGCAGGAUCUGUUACUUUGGGGAAAAUCAGGCAUUUUUAGUGUGUGGAGGUCGGGGAACACACUGACUGACUGUCUCCCAUCUCUUUGGCAGCUGGUGUAUCCUCAUGACUUCAGACUGACAGAGAAGGAGAAAACGAGUAUCUGCUACUUGUCCUUCCCAGACUCCUACUCAGGUGGCCUUGGGGACACCCAGUUCAGCUUCCGCCUGCGGCAGUCGGGGGGCCCCAGGACCUCCCCGUUCCAGGACGACGGUCGGUACAACCGGGAGGCCCCCCUGACGCUGC